rnacentral:misc_RNA from 1 species
GAUGAAGAACGUAGCGAAAUGCGAAAAGUAAUGUGAAUUGCAGAAUUCAGUGAACCAUCGAAUCUUUGAACGCACAUUGCGCCCGCUAGUAUUCUGGCGGGCAUGCCUGUCCGAGCGUCAUUUCAACCCAUCAAGCUUAGCGCUUGUGUUGGAGCCCUGCGGCCGCCGCAGCCUCCUAAAAUCAGUGGCGGGCUCGCUAUCACGCUGAGUGCAGUAGUAUUCUUCUCACUCCUGUGGUGUAGCGGGUAACCAGCCGUAAACCCCCCCAUCUAUAAAGGUUGACCUCGGAUCAGGUAGGAAUACCCGCUGAACUUAAGCAUAUCAAUAAGCGGAGGA